UACGAAGGGGGCUAGCGUUGCUCGGAAUCACUGGGCGUAAAGCGCACGUAGGCGGAUUGCUAAGUCAGGGGUGAAAUCCUGGAGCUCAACUCCAGAACUGCCUUUGAUACUGGUGAUCUCGAGUCCGGGAGAGGUGAGUGGAACUGCGAGUGUAGAGGUGAAAUUCGUAGAUAUUCGCAAGAACACCAGUGGCGAAGGCGGCUCACUGGCCCGGUACUGACGCUGAGACGCGAAAGCGUGGGGAGCGAACAGG
rnacentral:rRNA from 1 species